rnacentral:misc_RNA from 1 species
UUUCCGUAGGUGAACCUGCGGAAGGAUCAUUAUUGUAUAACCGAGGUGCGAGGGCUGUCGCUCACCCGAACGGUCGUGCACGCCCGAGUGCCCUCACACACAUCCAUCUCACCCCUGUGUGCACCACCGCGUGGGUCCCCCUUUGGCUUGUUCGGAGGGGGGCUUACGUUUUCACACAAACUUUGUAUGCAGUGUAGAAUGUAUUUUUUGUUUUUGCGAUCACGCAAUCAAUACAACUUUCAACAACGGAUCUCUUGGCUCUC